rnacentral:rRNA from 1 species
CCUACGGGUGACAGCAGUGGGGAAUAUUGCGCAAUGGGCGCAAGCCUGGUCCAGCACCGCCGCGUGAAGGAAGAAGGCUUUCGGGUUGUAAACUUCUUUUCAGAGGGAAGAGCAGAAGACGGUAGCUCUUGAAAAAGCCACGGCUAACUACGUGCCAGCAGCCGCGGUAAUACGUAGGUGGCAAGCGUUGUCCGGAUGUACUGGGUGUAAAGGGCGUGCAGCCGGGAAGACAAGUCAGAUGUGAAAUCCCGCGGCUCAACCGCGGAACUGCAUUUGAAACUGUUUUUCUUGAGUACAGGAGAGGUCAGUGGAAUUCCGGGUGUAGCGGUGAAAUGCGUAGAUAUAAGGAAGAACACCAGUGGCGAAGGCGGAUGACUGGACGGCAACUGACGGUGAGGCGCGAAAGCGUGGGGAGCAAACAGGAUUAGAUACCCUAGUAGUC